UACGUAGGGGGCAAGCGUUGUCCGGAAUCAUUGGGCGUAAAGAGCGUGUAGGCGGCUCGGUAAGUCCGCUCUGAAAGCCCAGGGCUCAACCCUGGGAGGCGGGUGGAUACUACGGAACUGGAGUACGGAAGAGGAGAUUGGAAUUCCUGGUGUAGCGGUGAAAUGCGCAGAUAUCAGGAGGAACACCAACAGCGAAGGCAGAUCUCUGGGACGUUACUGACGCUGAGACGCGAAAGCGUGGGGAGCAAACAGG
rnacentral:rRNA from 1 species